CAGUAGCCGCGGUAAUAUGAAGGGUGCAAGCGUUACUCGGAAUUACUGGGCGUAAAGCGUGCGUAGGUGGUGGUUUAAGUCCGUUGUGAAAGCCCUGGGCUCAACCUGGGAAUUGCAGUGGAUACUGGGUCACUAGAGUGUGGUAGAGGAUAGUGGAAUUUCCGGUGUAGCAGUGAAAUGCGUAGAGAUCGGAAGGAACAUCUGUGGCGAAGGCGACUAUCUGGGCCAACACUGACACUGAGGCACGAAAGCGUGGGGAGCAAACAGGAUUAGAGACCCGCGUAGUCCCUGUCUCUUAUAC
rnacentral:rRNA from 1 species